CAGCUCAAAUUUGAAAUCUGGCCUCCUUUGGGGGUCCGAGUUGUAAUUUGCAGAGGGUGCUUUGGCAUUGGCGGCGGUCUAAGUUCCUUGGAACAGGACAUCGCAGAGGGUGAGAAUCCCGUACGUGGGCGCCUGCCUUUGCCGUGUAAAGCCCCUUCGACGAGUCGAGUUGUUUGGGAAUGCAGCUCUAAAUGGGAGGUAAAUUUCUUCUAAAGCUAAAUACCGGCCAGAGACCGAUAGCGCACAAGUAGAGUGAUCGAAAGAUGAAAAGUACUUUGGAAAGAGAGUCAAAUAGCACGUGAAAUUGUUGAAAGGGAAGCGCUUGCAGCCAGACUUGCCCGCAGUUGCUCACCUAGGCUUUUGCCUGGGGCACUCUUCUGCGGGCAGGCCAGCAUCAGUUUGGGCGGUUGGAUAAAGGCCUCUGUCACGUAUCUCCCUUCGGGGUGACCUUAUAGGGGAGGCGCAAUGCAACCAGCCCGGACUGAGGUCCGCGCAUCUGCUAGGAUGCUGGCGUAAUGGCUGUAAGCGGCCCGUCUUGAAACACGGACCAAGGAGUCUAACAUCUAUGCGAGUGUUUGGGUGUCAAGCCCGGGCGCGCAAUGAAAGUGAACGGAGGUGGGAACCGCAAGGUGCACCAUCGACCGAUCCUGAAGUCUUCGGAUGGAUUUGAGUAAGAGCAUAGCUGUUGGGACCCGAAAGAUGGUGAACUAUGCUUGAAUAGGGUGAAGCCAGAGGAAACUCUGGUGGAGGCUCGCAGCGGUUCUGACGUGCAAAUCGAUCGUCAAAUUUGGGCAUA
rnacentral:rRNA from 1 species